AAGACGAACACAGCCAGAGCGAAGAGUUUAUUUCAAGAGCAGAAGACACACCAUUGGAGGUGUGGGCUAGGACCGGACUUUGGAGGGUUCUCAAAGCUUGCAAAGAGAAAUAAAACUUUCUAAAUUUCCUAAGUCUAUUAGGUGAAAUUUUCAUGGCUGACUAACAUAUACUUUGGGUGAUUGAAGAAAUUGUCUUUGUGAGACUGUCCACAGCUAUUGUAAUGACAAAGUUUCAGAAUCCACUUUAUCAAGACAGAGAGUUAAAGACUUGUAAGAAAAGACAGAAGUUUCAUUUUAAUUUUACUCUAGAUGUCCUUACAGGGAAAGGCCAUGUGAAGAUGGAAACAGGAGAUUGGAGUGAUGCUGCCACAGCCGAGAAGGAGCUGGAGCCAACAGAGAAGCUGGAAGAGGCAGAGGAUUCUCUUUGGGGGAGGUGCUGCUGAUUAUGGACUUCCAGGCUCCAAAACUGUGGGGAGAAGGGGUUUUUGCUAUUUUAAGCCUUUAUGUUUGUGGUGAUUUGUUUUAGUAGCCUUAACAAAUUUUAAUUUGUAGGGAAUGUUGACAUCACAUAGUUUAAAUUUUCUGGAUGUGCCUUAGGAUCAGAAUCAUAUGAGGUGCUUUUCCUAAAAUACAUAUUCUUGGACUCUAUACAAGACCUAUUGAAUGGAAAUUUUUGGAGAAGGGUGAUAGUGGCCUGGGGAUCUUUAUUAGUACCAAACGCCCUGGGUGAUUCAUAUCAUCAAGCACGGAGCUGAGGAAAUGCUGAGUUAGGUCAAGGAUAUAAAAACCGUUUUUAUUAAUUUCUGCCUAUGGCUUUCAAUAUACCCCACCAGGGUUUGCCUAACCUCCCACUUUCUUGCAUCGAGAGCCUUAUUAAUACUAGGAUGUAUAAAAGAGGGAACUGUAGCCAAAGACAAUGCAAAAGCAUGUCACAUACCUAUAAGAAAACAAAAAGACAACUUAGUAGAAGCUUGUAUACCAUUUCAAGCAAAAAUAAUACAAAUGUUUAAAUAUAAAUUUAUAGAACAUGAAAAAAAAAAACAGAACAAGACCA